CCUCCUCCAUGGCAGUGUGUAUCCAGGAUUUCUCCCAGAGGAGGCAAACACUUGAAAUAUUUACCCAAAACAUUUGAAGUAGCGCUCUGUGAUGUUGAAUUCUACCAGAAAGAAAGGAAGGAGGAAGGGAAGGAAGAAAGGAGGAAGGGAAUGAAAGGGAAGGGAAGGGAAAGGAAGGGAAACUUGACUUAGGGGAAGGACAAGGAAGAAAGGAGAAAGGGAAAGUUGAGUUAGGGGAAGGGGAAGGAAGAAAGGAGGAAGAGAAGGGAAGGGAAGGGAAGGUUAAGUUAGGGGAAGGGGAAGGAAGAAAGGAGGAAGGGAAGGGAAGGGAAGGGAAGGUUGAGUUAGGGGAAGGGGAAGGAAGAAAGGAGGAAGGGAAGGGAAGGGAAGGGAAGGUUGAGUUAGGGGAAGGGGAAGGAAGAAAGGAGGAAGGGAAGGGAAGGGAAGGUUGAGUUAGGGGAAGGGGAAGGAAGAAAGGAGGAAGGGAAGGGAAGGGAAGGGAAGGUUGAGUUAGGGGAAGGGGAAGGAAGAAAGGAGGAAGGGAAGGGAAGGGAAGGGAAGGGAAGGGAAGGUUGAGUUAGGGGAAGGGGAA